GUGGGGAAUCUUCCGCAAUGGACGAAAGUCUGACGGAGCAACGCCGCGUGAGUGAUGAAGGUCUUCGGAUUGUAAAGCUCUGUUAAUCGGGACGAAAGAGCCUAGUGUGAAUAAUGCUAGGAAGUGACGGUACCGGAAUAGAAAGCCACGGCUAACUACGUGCCAGCAGCCGCGGUAAUACGUAGGUGGCAAGCGUUGUCCGGAAUUAUUGGGCGUAAAGCGCGCGCAGGCGGAUCUGCCAGUCUGUCUUAAAAGUUCGGGGCUUAACCCCGUGAUGGGAUGGAAACUACAGAUCUAGAGUAUCGGAGAGGAAAGUGGAAUUCCUAGUGUAGCGGUGAAAUGCGUAGAUAUUAGGAAGAACACCAGUGGCGAAGGCGACUUUCUGGACGAAAACUGACGCUGAGGCGCGAAAGCCAGGGGAGCGAACGGGAUUAGAUACCCCUGUAGUCC
rnacentral:rRNA from 1 species